ACGCACGCUGGCUGCGUGCUUCACACCUGCCAGUCGAACGGAAAGGCCCUGCUUUUGUGGGGUGCUCGAGUGGCGAACGGGUGAGUAACACGUGAGUAACCUGCCCUUGACUUUGGGAUAACUUCAGGAAACUGGGGCUAAUACCGGAUAGGAGCUCCUGCUGCAUGGUGGGGGUUGGAAAGUUUCGGCGGUUGGGGAUGGACUCGCGGCUUAUCAGCUUGUUGGUGGGGUAGUGGCUUACCAAGGCUUUGACGGGUAGCCGGCCUGAGAGGGUGACCGGCCACAUUGGGACUGAGAUACGGCCCAGACUCCUACGGGAGGCAGCAGUGGGGAAUAUGGCACAAUGGGCGGAAGCCUGAGGCAGCAACGCCGCGUGCGGGAUGACGGCCUUCGGGUUGUAAACCGCUUUCGCCUGUGACGAAGCGUGAGUGACGGUAAUGGGUAAAGAAGCACCGGCUAACUACGU
rnacentral:rRNA from 1 species